rnacentral:rRNA from 1 species
GGACGGGUGAGCAACACGUGGAUAACCUGCCCUGGGGUGAGGAAUACCGGCGAGAAAUCGCCGACAAGACCGCAUAGCCUUGGCAACAAGGAAAGGCUCUCGCACGAGAGUCGCCACAGGAGGGGUCCGCGUCCGAUUAGCUGGUUGGUGGGGUAACGGCCUACCAAGGCGACGAUCGGUAGCUGGUCUGAGAGGACGAUCAGCCACACUGGGAUUGAGAACGGUCCAGACUCCUACGGGGGGCAGCAGUGAGGAAUUUUCGUCAAUGGGGGCAACCCUGAACGAGCAACGCCGCGUGCAGGAAGACGGUUUUCGGAUCGUAAACUGCUUUUCUCUGGGACGAGUAAGGACGGUACCAGAGGAAUCAGCCCCGGCUAACUACGUGCCAGCAGCCGCGGUAAUACGUAGGGGGCAAGCGUUGUCCGGAUUUAUUGGGCGUAAAGGGCGCGCAGGCGGUUGCUCAAGUUUGUGGUGACAGUGCUCGGCUUCACUGAGCAAGGACCACGAAAACUGGGCGACUUGAGGGCU